rnacentral:rRNA from 1 species
UGCAAGUCGAACGGUACAGGUCUUCGGAUGCUGACGAGUGGCGAACGGGUGAGUAAUACAUCGGAACGUGCCUAGUAGUGGGGGAUAACUACUCGAAAGAGUAGCUAAUACCGCAUGAGAUCUACGGAUGAAAGCAGGGGACCUUCGGGCCUUGUGCUACUAGAGCGGCUGAUGGCAGAUUAGGUAGUUGGUGGGGUAAAGGCUUACCAAGCCUGCGAUCUGUAGCUGGUCUGAGAGGACGACCAGCCACACUGGGACUGAGACACGGCCCAGACUCCUACGGGAGGCAGCAGUGGGGAAUUUUGGACAAUGGGCGAAAGCCUGAUCCAGCAAUGCCGCGUGCAGGAUGAAGGCCCUCGGGUUGUAAACUGCUUUUGUACGGAACGAAAAGCCUGGGGCUAAUAU